UACGUAGGGUGCAAGCGUUGUCCGGAAUUAUUGGGCGUAAAGAGCUCGUAGGCGGUUUGUCGCGUCUGCUGUGAAAACUCGGGGCUUAACUCCGGGCCUGCAGUGGGUACGGGCAGACUAGAGUGCGGUAGGGGAGACUGGAAUUCCUGGUGUAGCGGUGAAAUGCGCAGAUAUCAGGAGGAACACCGGUGGCGAAGGCGGGUCUCUGGGACGGUACUGACUCUGAGACGC
rnacentral:rRNA from 1 species